AUACAAUAAUUAACUUUAUAAAGUGAAAUACACAUAUAAAUUAAUUAAUAAAGGCUAAAAUACUAAAUAAGUAGGAAAAAGGGAGAAAAGAAUUUCGCACCUGCCCUAGCUAUGAGCAGGUGCCUGGACGUGGACGAGAACAAGAUGAAGAAAGAAGAAAGAAAAAAAGGAGAAGAAGAAAGGAGAAGAAGAAGAAGAAGAAACAACAACAACAACAACUACUACCCAGUAUAGUCCCACCAGGUGGGGUCUGGUAGAAGAAGAAGAAAGAAGAAG
rnacentral:lncRNA from 1 species